rnacentral:tRNA from 1 species
GGGAGUGUAGCUCAGCGUAGAGCACUUGCCUGGUACGCAUGAGGCCCUGUGUUGGAUCUUCAACAUCCCCU